UACGUAGGGCGCAAGCGUUAUCCGGAAUUAUUGGGCGUAAAGAGCUCGUAGGCGGUUUGUCGCGUCUGCCGUGAAAGUCCGGGGCUCAACUCCGGAUCUGCGGUGGGUACGGGCAGACUAGAGUGAUGUAGGGGAGACUGGAAUUCCUGGUGUAGCGGUGAAAUGCGUAGAUAUCGGGAGGAACACCAGUGGCGAAGGCGAGUCUCUGGGAUGAUGCUGACGCUGAGGCGCGAAAGCCAGGGGAGCAAACGGG
rnacentral:rRNA from 1 species